AGGUGGGUCUGGGAGCCGACAAGGGGGUUUGGGUGUCGAAGAGAGGGUUUUUCGAGUUUUAGGGUGGGACUUGAGAGGAUAGUGAUUUAAGGGAAAGGGAUGUGCGGCGGUGUAGACAUGGCGGCGGCGGUGGGGGCGGUGGCAGCGGUGUAGACAUGGUGGUGCCGGUAGGGGUAGGGAUGUUGGCUGGGUGGGGAGCGGUGGCUAGGUUGGUGGUGGUUUAUUUAUUUAAUUUUUUUUAAUUUUUUUUAUUCUUUAUUUAAGUAAUUAAUUAAAUAAUAUUAAUAAGAACCAAUAAGUGACAGCCACGUGGCACAAUUAACCUUAAUGACUAACGGAGUUAAUGGCUUUAGUCAAUAAGGGCAUUUGGUGACAUUUAUGUUAAACUCAGUGGUAUUUGGUGAAUUAAGCUUUAACUCAGUGGUAUUUGGUGAAAAAUCCGAUAAAACUACUUAUCUCCAUUUUCAGAUAUCCGCCGAUCAAUAUCUCAUCUUUGAUCCCUCAACUUCUUUGUUUUCUCUCUUUAAUUCAUCUUCAGUUUCUCUCUUUGUUAUUUUCCCUUUUAUGGUAUUAGUUUAAUUUGUUAAUUUCUAGGUUUUUUUAGAUCCCCAAUUCCCUUUACCCCAUCAUGCGUUUCCUCGUUCUAAUAGCAAACUCUAACCUCAAAGCCCCAAAUUACUCUCUCUUCUAAAUCGAGCUCAUUCAACGGCUCCAAUGUCAUUUUGUAAAUGUGGGUGGUAUUCUCGGCUUCUUGUCCAGUUGGUGGUGUAAGUCAAGUUCUCGACUUCCCGUCCGUCCUUGUUGAGUUGUUGACGGAGUCGGACGGUACCAGCCUAGCCGUUUGUGAUUCUCGGAAGGCAACAUCCCAGUUAAGCCGUUAGUGUGGCAAUUGGCUUUCUAUGUGUAGCAGUUGAGGUAGAUAUACCGUGGUGGAUCUUGCAGCUGAGUAAUUGAUUUGGUGGCUAGUUUGUAAGAAAGCGGUACGAGGCAUUCAAG